ACCCGCUGAACUUAAGCAUAUCAAUAAGCGGAGGAAAAGAAACCAACAGGGAUUACCUUAGUAACGGCGAGUGAAGCGGUAAAAGCUCAAAUUUGAAAUCUUCGGAAUUGUAAUUUGAUGGAUAAAAUUGCCACGGACAAAAGUUCACUGGAAAGUGACGCCGUAGAGGGUGAUAGCCCCGUUUACGUCCACCGGCACUAUAAUUUUAUUCCAAAGAGUCGGGUUGUUUGGGAAUGCAGCUCAAAGUGGGUGGUAAAUUCCAUCUAAAGCUAAAUAUUGACGAGAGACCGAUAGCGAACAAGUACAGUGAUGGAAAGAUGAAAAGAACUUUGAAAAGAGAGUGAAACAGUACGUGAAAUUGUUGAAAGGGAAGGGGAGGGAAGAUGUUAAAGGGACUCCUUUCUUUAGGGAGGGAUCCCCCCAAGAGUCUUUCCUCUCGCCCGUCUUGAAACACGGACC
rnacentral:rRNA from 1 species